AUUGAACGCUGGCGGCAGGCUUAACACAUGCAAGUCGAGCGGAGAUGAGGUGCUUGCACCUUAUCUUAGCGGCGGACGGGUGAGUAAUGCUUAGGAAUUUGCCUAUUAGUGGGGGACAACAUUCCGAAAGGAAUGCUAAUACCGCAUACGUCCUACGGGAGAAAGCAGGGGAUCUUCGGACCUUGCGCUAAUAGAUGAGCCUAAGUCGGAUUAGCUAGUUGGUGGGGUAAAGGCCUACCAAGGCGACGAUCUGUAGCGGGUCUGAGAGGAUGAUCCGCAACGCUGGGACUGAGACACGGCCCAGACUCCUACGGGAGGCAGCAGUGGGGAAUAUUGGACAAUGGGGGGAACCCUGAUCCAGCCAUGCCGCGUGUGUGAAGAAGGCCUUAUGGUUGUAAAGCACUUUAAGCGAGGAGGAGGCUACUGAGACUAAUACUCUUGGAUAGUGGACGUUACUCGCAGAAUAAGCACCGGCUAACUCUGUGCCAGCCGCCGCGGUAAUAC
rnacentral:rRNA from 1 species